AAUCAGCGCUCUCUCGAGUGCGCUACGCAGAAUGUCCCCAGCCUCAACGAACGCCGCCUCAUUGAGCUUCAGGUGCCGUUCAAGCGCCUUUUUGUCAUCCUGGAGCACCGCAAUCUGACAAGAACCAAACGAGCAACCACAUACUCCAGGGGCCCUAUGAUGGCAUCAAAGGGAACCACUUCCUCAUCUCUCUGGGCCGAGUGGAUCCUCCUGAGCGAUGCCUCAGCAGCGAACUGUGCAGACAACGCUUCCUUGCGCUCAUUGCAUAACCUUUUCACAUCCAGAUUCUGUCAUAUCAAAUUGAAUUUACCCGUCAUGUAACCGGAAAAGGAAGAAGAAUGGAGCUAGUUGAUUUGAUGUCAAAUCAAAUGAGCUACGCAAGUACUCCAUCCAUUCCUAAAUAUUUGUCUUUCUAGAGAUUUCAACAACUGACUACAUACAGAACAAAAUGAGUGAAUCUACACUCUAAAAUAUGUAUAUGUACAUCCGUAUGUGAUAGUCCAUUUGAAAUCUCUAAAAAGACAAAUAUUUAGGAACGAAAGGAGUAAGUACUAAGCAACCUUCUGUUCAAGCUGCUUCUCCAGGAUGCUCAGCUUCUCGUCCUGUUUCUUCAGCUCCUUGCUCAGCUGAAUGCAGACGUCAGGUAAAGUUAAGUCCAGGUUGCAUCCAGUUAGCAGUGUACAAGUUAACUUAACUUGCUAACUUAAGCUCAGAAGAAACAGAGCGCAAGUUAACUUGUAAACAACUCAAGGAAGCUGACCAGUGAAGCAAAUUAUACCUCA